rnacentral:tRNA from 1 species
CAAAGUAUAGCCUAACUAAAGCACCUCGCUUACACCGAGAAGAUAUCCGUGAAACCCGAAUUAUUUUGA